CAAUUAUACCGUGAACUGCGAAUGGCUCAUUAAAUCAGUUAUCGUUUAUUUGAUAGUACCUUACUACUUGGAUAACCGUGGUAAUUCUAGAGCUAAUACAUGCUAAAAACCCCGACUUCGGGAGGGGUGUAUUUAUUAGAUAAAAAACCAACGCCCUUCGGGGCUCCUUGGUGAAUCAUAAUAACUUAACGGAUCGCAUGGCCUUGCGCCGGCGACGGUUCAUUCAAAUUUCUGCCCUAUCAACUUUCGAUUGUAGGGUAUUGGCCUACAAUGGUAUCAACGGGUAACGGGGAAUUAGGGUUCGAUUCCGGAGAGGGAGCCUGAGAAACGGCUACCACAUCCAAGGAAGGCAGCAGGCGCGCAAAUUACCCAAUCCCGACACGGGGAGGUAGUGACAAUAAAUACUGAUACAGGGCUCUUUUGGGUCUUGUAAUUGGAAUGAGUACAAUUUAAAUCCCUUAACGAGGAACAAUUGGAGGGCAAGUCUGGUGCCAGCAGCCGCGGUAAUUCCAGCUCCAAUAGCGUAUAUUAAAGUUGUUGCAGUUAAAAAGCUCGUAGUUGAACCUUGGGCCUGGCUGGCCGGUCCGCCUCACCGCGUGCACUGGUCCGGCCGGGCCUUUCCUUCUGGAGAGCCGCAUGCCCUUCACUGGGCGUGUCGGGGAACCAGGACUUUUACUUUGAAAAAAUUAGAGUGUUCAAAGCAGGCCUUUGCUCGAAUACAUUAGCAUGGAAUAAUAGAAUAGGACGUGCGGUCCUAUUUUGUUGGUUUCUAGGACCGCCGUAAUGAUUAAUAGGGAUAGUCGGGGGCAUCAGUAUUCAAUUGUCAGAGGUGAAAUUCUUGGAUUUAUUGAAGACUAACUACUGCGAAAGCAUUUGCCAAGGAUGUUUUCAUUAAUCAGUGAACGAAAGUUAGGGGAUCGAAGACGAUCAGAUACCGUCGUAGUCUUAACCGUAAACUAUGCCGACUAGGGAUCGGGCGAUGUUAUUAUUUUGACUCGCUCGGCACCUUACGAGAAAUCAAAG
rnacentral:rRNA from 1 species